rnacentral:rRNA from 1 species
UACGGAGGGGGCUAGCGUUGUUCGGAUCUACUGGGCGUAAAGCGCACGUAGGCGGCGCCGUAAGUCAGGGGUGAAAUCCCGGAGCUCAACUCCGGAACUGCCCUUGAAACUGCAGUGCUAGAAUCCUGGAGAGGCGAGUGGAAUUCCGAGUGUAGAGGUGAAAUUCGUAGAUAUUCGGAAGAACACCAGUGGCGAAGGCGGCUCACUGGACUGGUAUUGACGCUGAGGUGCGAAAGCGUGGGGAGCAAACAGG